CAAGCGGAGGAACAUGUGGUUUAAUUCGAUGAUACGCGAGGAACUUACCUGGGUUAAAUGGGAAGUGACAGCUUUGAAAUAGAGCCUUCUUCGGACACUUUUCAAGGUGCUGCAUGGUUGUCGUCAGCUCGUGCCGUGAGGUGUCGGGUUAAGUCCCAUAACGAGCGCAACCCCUAUUGAUAGUUACCAGCACGUAAUGGUGGGGGACUCUAUCGAGACUGCCGGUGUGAACCGUGAGGAAGGUGGGGAUGACGUCAAAUCAGCACGGCCCUUACAUCCAGGGCUACACACGUGUUACAAUGGCCGGUACAAAGGGCAGCUACUCCGCGAGGAGAUGCGAAUCUUAAAAACCGGUCUCAGUUCGGAUCGAAGUCUGCAACCCGACUUCGUGAAGCUGGAUUCGCUAGUAAUCGUAUAUCAGCCAUGAUACGGUGAAUACGUUCCCGGGCCUU
rnacentral:rRNA from 1 species